rnacentral:lncRNA from 1 species
AUCAGAAUGGGACCUCAUUACAUUCUGGUGAGCGACUCAAGAGGAAGUAUGGGAAAGCAAAGCAACAACUCCAUUUUGAGAAUAAAUUUCUUAAAAUAUUCAGCAAAGUCAUGGAAGGAAGUUCAAAGCCAGAGGAUGAAACAGAUAUUCAUAGAUGACUCAACAUAUGAGCCCUGGAAGAGACCUCAGAAUCAACUUUUCAUUUACAAGUUAGGAAACUGAAGCCCAGAAGGGUGAAAUAUGUCCAAGGUCAUGCAGCCAGACAGAGCCAGAGGGCUUCACUCCGCCAUAUUAAUGUGGGAAAUCAGUACAAGCUUACAAAAAAACAACUUAAAAAUACUUUUAAUUGUAAUGCAUGAUCAUUGUAGAAAAUGUAGAAAAGACAAGCAGACCAAAAAGGAAAAUAUAACUCAACCAUCAAAACUCACUCACAUACAGCCACUAUAAUCAUUCUGGUGUAUGCAUAUCUUUUCAGAUAUAUAUAUUUUUCUAUUUCCAUUGCUCUUUUCAAUCUGCCAACAACUUCUUACUUUUUCCAUUUUGCCACUUGUUCCAUUCUUCCAUGUCGUCCUUUCACUCUCUCAUGGUUUUCUUGAAAUUACAACUAAACGACAUAGUUCAUAAAUUGACAAGCUUACGGUUGCACUCGGAUGCAGCACAUUGAAGCAACUUGCAGGUAGAAAAGGCAUUUUGGUACAGAGCGGAACAGAAGGAACGUGGGAUCUGGAUGCUAAGUGAAGCCCAGAUCUCUGACUGGUCAGCUACGAACCAAGUGAGGAGUAAACCGAAUCCUGACUUGAAGUAAUCGAGAGUGGAGAUCAGACACCUGAAGCAGAUAGAGCCGCCUCCGUCGCGUCCCUUGCUCUCUGGGAAGGUUGUGGGAAGCAGUUAUAAACCGGCUGGCGUGAAGGCAAGAUGAAGAUGACUUUCAACGUCUUAUGAAGGCCUCUGGCCCACAGUCCUGCCUGCUAUUGUUGAUGGCCACAUACAUACAUUGUUGCCUCACGGAUUUCCCCAUGUCUCGACUUACACACGUUCCUAAAACUUUUGCUGGAAUCGAUUAAUUGCAUCUUAUUAGAGCCCUUGAUUUCUUUAAAAGUGAAAAAUAGAGCCCGUUAAGUUGAACCCUGGAGAUGUUUCUGAAAGCAGCCUCCUGUCUCUGGCACACGACUAGGGUCUCCAAAGCUCACCAUGGGGAAGAAGAAAACUUACAAAGGGGACG